GGGUCUUACAAAAAAAAAAGAAAAUAGGUCUACUGGGUCUCACGGUAGCUCACACUUCACUUAUUGUUUGGUAUUGCACAUUUCAUUGCUGUUAUUAUUUGGAGACUACAGCAAAAUGAAAGAGAAGCAGAAACCAAAAAUUGACAAACAUCAAAAAACACAUUCCUUAAACUGUGGGAUUUCACACAAUUAAAUAUGUAUUUGUUCAGUAAUAUAAGUUUUGCUUAGAGAUUUAUUUUGGGUGGGAAAUCUACCAUCAACUUUUUUCAGGACCUAGCAAGGUUUGAAUUUUUAAUUUAUUUUUAUUUUGUUAUUUUGUUUUGUUUUCUUUUGACACAUUUAAGUCAAACACCACUUGAGAUUUAUAAUGUGCAGUGCACAAAAAAUCAAUUUGAGUAUUUAAAGUUUGCAUACAUUAAAACGCUACAACAAACAGCAGAAAGCUUUUAAAUCCACCAGACAACAAGAGAUGUCUCAUCCUGGAGCUUUCGUCAAUGAAAGCGUGAUUGACAGUAAAGAAUUAUUCAUGGUAUAUUUACACAUUAAGCUCAGUAAGAGGUGUCACAUUAAUUGUCAAGUGUUGCUUUAAGGUUCAGUGUCCCACAGCAAUUAGAUUUUUAGCAAUCUAAGCCUUUAAAAUAUGCAACUUCAGUCAUUUCCUAUGGUAUGGAAGCGUUUAAUUUUACACCAAUCAUUUCUUUAGGACAGGGUGUCAGGGUUUUUUUCUUCUGCUGGUUAUUAAUAGUGUCAUCUGAUAUUGUUCAGACUGUCAGCAUCUGUUUUGAUCCAGCCUUAAUCAAAAGUAUGAUCUUUCACUAAAGUUUUUUUGCAUUGCCCUCAUCUCAGACAGGAGUCUGCACUCUGAAAGCCCACCACUCAUUCCAGCUACCUCCCCCUCUGCGACUCCUUUUCAUACAGAUGUGUAUUGAGACAUUCUAACGUUGGAUGAAUUCACUAAUUCCUGUGUCUUCAUACAUUUUCUUUUAAAGUCACCUUGUAUAUGUAUAAAGUACAUAUGCCUAUGUAUAAAGUACCUUUAAG
ensembl:lncRNA